rnacentral:rRNA from 1 species
AUACGGAGGGUGCAAGCGUUAAUCGGAAUUACUGGGCGUAAAGCGUACGUAGGCGGUUCGUUAAGUUAGAUGUGAAAGCCCCGGGCUUAACCUGGGAACUGCAUUUAAAACUGGCGAACUAGAGUUGAGUAGAGGGGAGUGGAAUUUCAGGUGUAGCGGUGAAAUGCGUAGAGAUCUGAAGGAACACCAGUGGCGAAGGCGACUCCCUGGACUCGAACUGACGCUGAGGUACGAAAGCGUGGGUAGCAAACGGAAUUAGAUACCCCAGUAGUCC